rnacentral:rRNA from 1 species
AUUGAACGCUGGCGGCAUGCUUUACACAUGCAAGUCGAACGGCAGCGCGGGCUUCGGCCUGGCGGCGAGUGGCGAACGGGUGAGUAAUACAUCGGAACGUGCCCAGUAGUGGGGGAUAGCUCGGCGAAAGCCGGAUUAAUACCGCAUACGACCUGAGGGUGAAAGCGGGGGAUCUUCGGACCUCGCGCUAUUGGAGCGGCCGAUGGCAGAUUAGCUAGUUGGUGGGGUAAAGGCCUACCAAGGCGACGAUCUGUAGCUGGUCUGAGAGGACGACCAGCCACACUGGGACUGAGACACGGCCCAGACUCCUACGGGAGGCAGCAGUGGGGAAUUUUGGACAAUGGGCGAAAGCCUGAUCCAGCAAUGCCGCGUGUGUGAUGAAGGCCUUCGGGUUGUAAAGCACUUUUGGCGGGAACGAAAGGGACUGUGCCAAUACCACGGUUCGAUGACGGUACCCGCAGAAUAAGCACCGGCUAACUACGUG